UACAGAGGUUGCAAGCGUUAAUCGGAUUUACUGGGCGUAAAGCGUGUGUAGGUGGUUUGACAAGUCGGUUGUGAAAUCCCCGGGCUCAACCUGGGAAUUGCUUCCGAGACUGUCAGACUAGAGAUCGGUAGAGGGCGGUGGAAUUUCCGGUGUAGCGGUGAAAUGCGUAGAUAUCGGAAGGAACACCAAUGGCGAAGGCAGCCGCCUGGGCCUGAUCUGACACUGAGACACGAAAGCGUGGGGAUCAAACAGG
rnacentral:rRNA from 1 species